rnacentral:rRNA from 1 species
CCAAUAGCGUAUAUUAAAGUUGUUGCAGUUAAAAAGCUCGUAGUUGAAUUUCGGGAUCAAAUUGUCGGUCGUGCCUCGGUACGUACUGGUAUUAUUGGUUCCUCCCUUCUGACGAACCACGAUGUCAUUAAUUUGGUGUCAUGGGAAAUCAGGACUGCUACUUUGAAAAAAUUAGAGUGUUUAAAGCAGGCUCGCGCUUGAAUACAUUAGCAUGGAAUAAUGAAAUAGGACGUUUGAUUCUAUUUUGUUGGUUUCUAGGAUCGACGUAAUGAUUAAUAGGGAUAGUUGGGGGCAUUAGUAUUCAAUUGUCAGAGGUGAAAUUCUUGGAUUUAUUGAAGACUAACUACUGCGAAAGCAUUUGCCAAGGAUGUUUUCAUUAAUCAAGAACGAAAGUUAGGGGAUCGAAGACGAUCAGAUACCGUCGUAGUCUUAACCAUAAACUAUGCCGACUAGGGAUCGGAUGAUGUUAAUUUUUUAAUGACUCAUUCGGCGCCUUACG